rnacentral:rRNA from 1 species
AGAGUUUGAUCCUGGCUCAGAACGAACGCUGGCGGCGUGCCUAACACAUGCAAGUCGAGCGAGAAAGUUCCCGCAAGGGAAUGAGUACAGCGGCGAACGGGUGAGUAACACGUGGGCAACCUACCCUUCAGUCAGGAAUAACCCCGCGAAAGCGGGGCUAAUACCAGAUGACGUCCCUCGGGGGCAUCUUCGGGGGACCAAAGGGGGCGAGCGCAAGCAGCUCCCGCUGAUCGAUGGGCCUGCGGCUGAUUAGCUAGUUGGUGGGGUGACGGCCUACCAAGGCGACGAUCAGUAGCCGACCUGAGAGGGUGACCGGCCACACUGGGACUGAGACACGGCCCAGACUCCUACGGGAGGCAGCAGUGGGGAAUAUUGCGCAAUGGGCGAAAGCCUGACGCAGCGACGCCGCGUGGGUGAUGAAGGCCUUCGGGUCGUAAAACCCUGUCGGGUGGAACGAAUCUCCAUCCUGCAAAUAGUGGGAUGGAUUGACGGUACCACCGAAGGAAGCCCCGGCUAACUACGUGCCAGCAGCCGCGGUAAUACGUAGGGGGCGAGCGUUGUUCGGAUUUACUGGGCGUAAAGAGCGCGUAGGUGGUCCGAUAAGUCGGAGGUGAAAUCCCUCGGCUCAACCGAGGAUCCGCGUCCGAUACUGUCGGACUUGAGUGCAGGAGAGGAGAGCGGAAUUCCCAGUGUAGCGGUGAAAUGCGUAGAUAUUGGGAGGAACACCGGUGGCGAAGGCGGCUCUCUGGACUGCUACUGACACUGAGGCGCGAAAGCUAGGGGAGCAAACGGGAUUAGAUACCCCGGUAGUCCUAGCCGUAAACGAUGGGCACUAGGUGUGGGAGGUAUCGACCCCUUCCGUGCCGCAGCUAACGCAUUAAGUGCCCCGCCUGGGGAGUACGGCCGCAAGGUUGAAACUCAAAGGAAUUGACGG